rnacentral:tRNA from 1 species
UUAGGAGUGCCAGAAUUAUAUGGGGUUGGUUUAGGACCAGUUUAUGGUUUGUACCCUCUUGUG